CCAGACUCCUACGGGAGGCAGCAGUGGGGGAUAUUGCACAAUGGGGGAAACCCUGAUGCAGCGACGCCGCGUGAGUGAAGAAGUAAUUCGUUACGUAAAGCUCUAUCAGCAGGGAAGAAAAUGACGGUACCUGAAGAAGAAGCCCCGGCUAACUACGUGCCAGCAGCCGCGGUAAUACGUAGGGGGCAAGCGUUAUCCGGAUUUACUGGGGGUAAAGGGGGCGCAGACGGCGAUGCAAGCCAGGAGUGAAAGCCCGGGGCCCAACCCCGGGACUGCUCUUGGAACUGCGUGGCUGGAGUGCAGGAGGGGCAGGCGGAAUUCCUGGUGUAGCGGUGAAAUGCGUAGAUAUCAGGAGGAACACCGGUGGCGAAGGCGGCCUGCUGGACUGCAACUGACGUUGAGGCCCGAAAGCGUGGGGAGCAAACAGGAUUAGAGACCCUCGUAAUG
rnacentral:rRNA from 1 species